GACUUUACUGAUCUCCGUCCGAUUUCGAGCGUCGAAGACGAGUCAUUCAUUGACGGGGCUUUAGAGAGGCGGGGGAACCGGAAGGCGGAGGGAGAACUGAGAAGGGUAUGGGGAUCGAGGAAAGUGGUGGAAACUGGAAAUAGAAAGAGGAGAAAGUAGGGAGCAAUAAAUGGGGAAUCGAGGCGGCAGCACAGCCGUCUCCAUGGCGGCGUUGGAGCAGACUCUCUGAUUUCUUUCUCCCUUAAACUACCAUUGGUUUCGGAAUUCAAGAAAAGGGAGACUGCAAGAGGAGAAGUCAAGGAGAGAGAGAGAGAGAGAGAGGAGUCAUACAGGGAAGAAGCCGGCAGCAUCGACUGCUCCACUCCUGCUGGCUGUUGGGUGCGUUGUGGUUGCAGAGACAAAAAAGCAGCGGGACAAAAGAAGAAAGAAUAGAGCAGAGGUGGCAGUGGCCAUUCUCGCUCCGUCUUGGCUCUCCUCUUUCUUGCUCCCGCGUUCCCUCCUGAGAUCGCUGUCCCACCUCCCCUAGAUAGCAAGGAAAGGGUCGCCAGCAGCUAUGGAUCGAGUAUAACUAGUCCGGUGGGGGAGUAAUCAUGGCGGGGUUUUUUCUCGGAGGGGGCGGUGGCAGCCAGCAACAACGCGGAGAGCAGCAAGGAGGAGGGAUCCCUCCGUCGGAGAGCUUCUUUCUUUACGGCGUUCGCGGAGGCCGGGGCGAGGACGUCGCUUACACCCGAGGCUUUGAGCUGUGGCAGCACCACCAGAUCCAGCGGGAGCAGCAGCUGUACUCCACCGCGGGCUUCCCCGAUGAGCUGCCGUCCGUGGCGCCGAGGCCGGCGAGAGGAAGCCUGGGAGGCGGCAGCGGGGUGAUGAGCUGCCAGGACUGCGGCAACCAGGCCAAGAAGGACUGCGCCCACAUGAGGUGCCGGACCUGCUGCAAGAGCCGCGGCUUCCAGUGCCCCACCCACGUCAAGAGCACCUGGGUCCCCGCCGCAAAGCGCAGGGAGCGCCAGCAGGAGCUCACCGCCUCCGCCGCCGCGGUGCAGCACGACGAGCGCCACCGCGGUGGCGGCCGAUCCACGGGCGAAGGCAGCAGCGGAGGGGGCGAGCCUUCCAAGCGGCCGAGGGAGAUCACGGCCUGCACCCGACUACCAGCCGCCAUGGCUUCGACCACCACGUAUGGAGGAAGCCUGGACCCCGAGAGCUUCCCACCGGAAGUGAGCGCGCAGGCGGUGUUCCGGUGCGUGCGGUUGAGCCACGUGGACGAAGCCGACGACAUAUACGCGUACCAGGCCGCCGUGAGCAUCGGCGGCCAUGUGUUCAAGGGACUUCUCUAUGAUCACGGCCCCGAGGCCGAGUACCCAUCGUCCUCCUCCUCUCGGUACCAGCUCCACCACGGUGAAGGCUCUUCCUCCCCCGCAGCGGCUGCUGCUACUGCUAUAGUCAGUGCCAGUGCCAGUGCCAGUGCUGGAGAUGCCGCCAUUGCGACCACUGCCACUGCUGCAGCCACCGAAUUGCUUGAGCCUUACCCGACUCCCUUAAGUGCCUUCAUGGCCGGCACGCAAUUCUUCCCCCACCAACACAGACCAUAGCGGAGAAACCUACGAAGAGGAUGCCAACGCCAAGCACGUCUCCUUCACGACCACAGGUCACGUCCGUGUUAUUUAACGUGCCUCAUCUGGUCACCAAUUUUUCUUAUACCAUGCAUUCCUCCUCAUCAUCCGGCAAUUGUGUAAUCUCUCCAAAUAAUUUCAAGUUUUCUCCUUCUUGAUCACUCUCUAGCAUAGCAAACUUAGAGCAGGCACUCUUCUUGUUCCUCACCUAUUAGCAUCUUCGUCUUCCUUUUGACGUCUCGUGUUGCUCUAUCUAUAGUUUGGUCCCAAGAAGAUGGCCGUCUUUACGGGAUCUGCGGGAUAUGCUUCGGGUUCGGAAAUGGACAUGCCUGGAUUUCUGUUUCACAUUGUUUCAACCUCGGAAACUAUAACUUAGACUGCGAAGGACUUGCUUGAGUUGGUUCCAUGUGGACAUGAUGGCCAUGCAUGGAGCAAGCUGAAUCCCAAGAAGCAGAAAGCCUUUUACCACUCUUCCUCGUAGAAAUGUUUCCCUAUAGUGUAUGCUGCACCUGUGGCAAUUUGGAUCUUCCAUGCUGCCUACGGAUAGGGAUGAGCUCUAGCAUGUGUGCUCCUUCUCUCUCGAGGCUAAAGUGACUCCGAAUGGGAAAAAGAAGACACAAGAGAUCAACCUUUGCGGCUGUGCCUCAACAGGAAGUUUAUGACUUCUAAAAUUUAAAGAGCAAAAAGGAUAUUGGCCCUACGUCGCGCACAUCUUUAAAAGGCGAAAGGGUUACCGGAUAUUAUUGUUCUCAAAAUUCAGUAAAAUUGAGUAGUCCUAAGUGAAGCACAAAAUGACAUAAAAAUAGUAGAUAAAAUCAACAAAAAGGAAAUACCAGGUAAUUUUGUUUUGAAAACUCAAUACGCAUUUACUAUGAUAAAAAGAUGAAUUAGGUGAGAAAGUACUUCUCUACAAGUUUUUUGCUUGCUCUGAAAGAAUCAAACCUGUGAUCAAGGGAAACUAUGACUUGCUAAAUGAAAAAUUCAACAAUAAAUUGGGUUUCUGUAAAUUAAAUGAACAUUUCAGGCUUAAAAACUGUAUAUAUGUUUACCUUGGUGUAUGUGGGUCUGUAAGUUCUUGCUACUUUCAUGAUUAUGCUAGUUCGGCUAUGAAUGUGGAUUCAUUCUGUUUUCAUUUUUUUAUCGCCUUCUGACUACAUCUAAUUAUUUAUUUGUCAUUGAAAUCAUCUUUCCUGUGAGCUAGCAGAUCAUUUACGUGGAUGUCCUAGCUUUGAUCCUCCUCCGUCGCGACCCUCUCUACUUGUUUUUUGCGUAAUCCAUGGCUUUUGGUAUAUUAUCAAAACUUCUGAAUUCUUAAGGGUUUAGAAGCUACUUGUGACCUUGGUUGCAACUUUCUCAUGAACUUUAUAUGCUGCAAAUUAAAGAUAUAAGCCGUAGCAUUGUACACGAGUUUAUCUUGUUGCUGAUUUCGGAUGGAUACUCUUAAGCGCAUGCAAGCGAUGUUUUAUAUGUUCUUUGUAGCUAUAAAAGUAUUAGUGCAUGAUAUAGUUGAAAAGUUCCGUUUACAAACUUCUACAUUAAAUUUAGGCAUUUGAUUUGGUACUUUAAUCGAAUUAAGAUGCUACAUUAAUUGGAAAAAAGAGAAAGAAAUACUAAGUUGUUUCAGGGAAUAUCUACUGAUGAUUGAUUUUGCUUGAAGCCUUCAGUGUCUUUGUUGAGUUAAUGGCUUGGUGGGUCUGGACAUGAAUGGUUAACUAAUGUUAGAGACCUUUUUGUUUCUCUCUUUUUCGAAUAAAGAUCAUACUAGACAUUUGAUCAUUGCCAUUUUAGCUCAUGAGACUGACAGAGGGGAACACUAUUGCCGUUCAAUCGACCGAGGAUUUCAGCUCUCUCGAUAGCACCGUGUAAUGUGCCUAGUUGCGCCGGUAAAUACCAAUAUACAUAUAUGUAUGUUGAUGGUUGGUUGGUGCAUGUCACUGUCUUUUUUCUUAUUACUCUCAGGGCAUUCUACUGAUGGUAGCAUAAAUAAUGACUGCCAUGGAAUGCAUAUGAACGAUGUUAUCUUGGAAUUCAGGUUAUCUUUACAUGACUCUUCCGACCUCUCAUGAACAUAUCAAACCAUUGACAGCAUUUUACAUUUAUGAGGAAUUACACAAAUUCCUACCUGGUUACAGAAUUCUGUCAUCCUGAUUUUAUCCUACAGUCACACCAUGUAAUUUUUGGCAACAAGAUUACCUUUGCAGUGUUUCUAAAUUGUCAUUAGGCAUGUAAAAAUACUAUAGCUUCCUGUGGUGAGGGAAUGUCUCCUGGAUAAACUUGGUGUUUUGGAGAUCCCAGCUGCAGUUGUUUUCCUGUUGGUCUGCAAGAAGUAAACAGCAGAGUGCUCCAACUGUCAGAAAAUGUUCUUCUUCUGCUCUUUGUUUUGGUUUGCAAAACAUCACUUGGUAGAGAGGCUUUCUUCUCCAGUCAGGCUUUCCAUAUGGAUCAAAUUGGUGUAUGAUGUUAUUAUUAGCUAGCUCUUAAAAUGCUUUACACUAUGUGAUUAAUGUUUUGUCAUGUCAAGAUUACUGAAUUAGGUGGUGUAUUGGAUGAAAAGCAUUUGAUAAUGUAAAGGAAGGGACAAGAUUAGGUUGGAACAUGCUUUUUUGUAUGUUGUUGCUGGAAGCCUUGAGGGUUGACAUCUCAGAAUCACCUACAUAACCUAUAGUUUGUUGGAUUGUGAUGAUAAGGGGGAAUGAGAUACCAGUCUUAUCUCUGGUAGUGACUGAUCACUACCCUAAAAGCAGGUCUUCUUUUCUUGGUAGUGGAGGGGAGGGCUAAAGCUUUCCCUAUCACAAAACCAUGGUGAUGUGAAGACCACGAAGCAUUUCUUUUUCCUUUUUCUUUAUCUUCUCAAAGUACUUGUUAAUGAUGAUGGUACCAUACCAUCAAAUUCUUUCUGGUGGUAGAGUCGGUGUAACUAUCGGUGGGGGUGCAGAUGAACAGUUGGGUUCCUUUCA